AGUUGGUAAGGUAAUGGCUUACCAAGGCUAUGACGGGUAGGGGACCUGAGAGGGUGGCCCCCCACAAUGGAACUGAAACACGGUCCAUACACCUACGGGUGGCAGCAGUAGGGAAUAUUAGUAAUGGGCGAAAGCCUGAACUAGCAACGCCGCGUGUGCGAAGAAGGCCUUCGGGUUGUAAAGCACUUUUAGAGAGGAUGAGGAAGGACGGUACUCUCAGAAUAAGCCUCGGCUAACUACGUGCCAGCAGCCGCGGUAACACGUAGGAGGCGAACGUUAUCCGGAUUUACUGGGCGUAAAGCGCGUGUAGGUGGUUUGGUAAGUAGGGCGUGAAAGCUCCCGGCUCAACUGGGAGAGGCCGUUCUAAACUGCCAAGCUAGAGGAUGGUAGAGGGAGGUGGAAUUCCGGGUGUAGCGGUGGAAUGCGCAGAUAUCCGGAGGAGCACCAGUGGCGAAGGCGGCCUCCUGGGCCACUCCUGACACUCAGACGCGAAAGCUAGGGUAGCAAACGGGAUUAGAGACCCCGGUAGUCCUAGCCCUAAACGAUGUAGACUUGGCGUCGGUGGUUUAAACGCCAUCGGUGUCGCAGCUAACGC
rnacentral:rRNA from 1 species